CAUCAUCUAAUUAUGCGAUCAAAAAAGCCAAAAAAUUUAAUUUGUAUUUUUGUCGGGUCCGGUUGGGUGAUCGGAUCUUGUUCCCCCCGUCGGAAAGAGCAACUCGCCGCCGCAUCUUGGCCGCAGUAGUGAUCAACCUUUGUUGUGCGUUUUCAGCCGUGACCAAGGCAGCUUUUUGGAGCCGGAGAUUCUCACAGCCGUAACCCUCCUUUCUCAAUAUCGUCCAACCCCUUCUUACUCGAGGAUUCAAGGGAACGCACAUUGGAGGCCUUGGAAAGAAGAAUUCAUACCGAACAUAUCCUAUUUGAAAAGAAAAAGCCUAUAAAUGAAGAUAGGAAAUCACCCAUUCUUGCACCUUCUGUGUCUAAUGUUUCGUCCCUGCAUUUAUGUCAUCCGUCAUCCGAUACACUCAACAAAGGGAUUUUCAGUCUUUUUGGCCGUUCCAUUUUGCAAGGAUUGUUCAGCCUAUGAAACAAUAAGAUUCUUUCUUCUUUAGUUUCUUCAUCUUGAUUUUUGAAGUUCUUACGUUAAUUAUAUAUUUAAGUUAUAACUUCAAUUUAUGUGAGAUAAUGGAAUGACUAUUGAUAUGCAGACAUUGAAGAUGGCUCAGAAUAUGCUCAACUUUCUGUGACUUUAAAUGAAAAUCUCCUCACAACUAAUGGGGAGUUUUCUGCAGAAAGAGGAGGUUCAGUUCAUGGAAUAUUGCAUGAACUUCUUCAGAAGGGAGAUGCAGCCGUAAAGUACAUUGAAGGAUCUAGAAACAUGAAAAUUGACAACUGGAUCCUUCUUGAUAAUUAUGUACAAAUACACCCACUUUCUUCAUCUUCUCAAUCCCGGGUUUUGCAAAGUCAUUCAAAACGUUCUAAAAAACACAUGUCAAUAAAACAACAUAAAAAACAUGGAUCAUUGGAUCUUCCUCGAGACUUCCAUAAGUAACAUUAAGGCCUCUAAACUUCACUUCAUCGCAAUCUAUUGAUACUUACCGUUACUGCUAUAGCCCCACAAUUUGUGGUAGUGUAUAUUAUUUGUCAUUUUCAAGCAAUGCAUGUAAUGUGGAAAGAUUAUAUAGCACUACUGCUUAAAACCACCGGGAGAAAUCAAUUGGCUCAAUGUCUCCUUGGCGCAGAUCUACAUGUUGUGGACGGUAAAGCAGCUCAUUUUACUGGAAUUGGUGGCAUCAUGAUUCAUGAAACUGCCGAAGCUUUCGGUAUAGUUACGGAAGAAAACAAAUUUCGAGUUGUUCCAAAGAAGGGUUCUGUAUUUGUAAUCCAAGUUGAUUGCUGGAAAGUCACUUUGCAUGGAGAUAAACUCGAUUCAAGAAAGGUUGGAUUAUGAUUUAGCGCCAAGGUUGCAACUCCUUUUGAUCAAUCUCAUAAAGUAUCUAAGUAUAGCUCUGAUGAUGUGUCCAACUCCGAAAAUGAAGAAGAUGACGUUGUUAAUAAAGAUGCCAUUGACAAUGACUCUUGAUUGGUCUCCAAUUCUACUUGUUCUCUGACACUCAUUCGACAUUAAUUCACGAAGUUGUUUGGUUGGUUUUCAGAUGCACGCAAGAAUACCCAAAGACUCGCCAAGGGAAUCGGGCGUUCCGGACUCACGUGAAGAAGAAUACUGAAGCUACAGUAGCCCUAACACGGUCACCCGUAUUGCUUGACACCACGACCACCCGUGUCAGGGGAAGGAAGAAAGAAGAGGCCAAAAAGUUAAAACAGGGAGCUGACACGGGUGCCCGUGUCAGCAGUCAUGGCAUGGGCGUGUUGGAGAGCUGGCAGUAGUGAGCCAACAUGGUCAGCCGUGUUGCCUGACACGACCAGUGUUGGUUUGGAUGCCUCAUCUUAUAAUUUUACCGGAUUUUUGGAAUUACUGAUCCCGGAUGGCAUUUUGGGUAUUUGCUACAUCAAAUAAUAAGGAUGUUUCCCAAAUAUCGAUCUCGAUGACUGCGCAGUAAUAUGAGUUUAAAUUGUGAUUCAAUUAAACAAAAACAAGUAGUUUGAAGGUUUGGAGUAAGUGGCUCUCUAAUUGAAUUAGAUAGAAUACAAAAUAUAACUUUUACACAAUUGAUAAAAUUAUGCCAAGGAUGAUGUAUGAUUAUCACCUGUAAUGACCUUGAAUGUAUAUCUCCUCAAACAGUUCAAAAAUGCAAUUACCAGAUCUUAAAAUUGUUUCCU